GUCUAUCAUCAUACCAUCCUGAACAAGCCUGAUCUCGUCUGAUCUCAGAAGAUAAGCAGGGUCAGACCUGGUUAGUACUUGGAUGGGAGAAAAAUAUCUAUAUAAAUGAGUGACU
rnacentral:rRNA from 1 species